rnacentral:misc_RNA from 1 species
UCUCCGUUGGUGAACCAGCGGAGGGAUCAUUACAGGACUCGCAAGACUCCUACAACCCUGUGAACUUAACUAUAAGCACGUUGCUUCGGCGGGUGUCCCGGAGGGGGUUCUCCCUCCCCGAGACGCUAAACCCGCCGGCAGCCUACUAUACUCUGUCUCUUUGCGUUGGCAUCUCGAGUACAAUCAAACAAGUUAAAACUUUCAACAACGGAUCUCUUGGUUCUG